CUUCCGGGUUAGAUCUAGUGCGCAGGCGCAGCUAUUCCACUCGCAAAAGGGCGGAACUGAGGUGUCAUCAGUGAUAAUACGCAUGCUCUUAAGCGUGUACCGGAUUGGCUGCAAGGUGUUAGCGGCUGGCGCGUGCGCAGAAGCCCGCCAGUCUCCUGGGACGUGGUGAGAUGGCGGGGCAGGAGGUGGCGCGGAUGGGUUGGUUUUGCCUGGACGCAAUAUGGAGGAGCUGAUGUUCUACAUGCUGAUGUUGAGCUCAUAGCCUAAAGACACUUGGAUUCACACUGCUCCCAAGGAGGGUGUUACUUGCUUCCAGGCACUUGUCCAGCUGAGACACUGCAAUGAGGGAAAGAUGGGGAAUGAGGCAGGAAGGAGGGUCCACAGAAGGAAAGGAAAAAGAAGGCACAGGACUAUUUCACCUGCCCCCAGGAACUGAGGUCCUGUAAAGGGAUAAGGCAAGUCCCAUUGGAGAGAACGGGAAGGAGGCUAUGCUGUGUAGAUCUGUGGGAAAAGGACGCUCAAGGCUCACCAGCUUGACUGCACAGCCAGGUUACAGCCUUUGCCUCCAGCAAGUCACAUAGCUCAUGGUAACACCUGUUGUGUCUCUGCAGCCAGGUCACAGCCAUCACUGUUGCCCAGAAAUUAGGAUCCAUGACCUGUAGAACAAUCAAUGACACUGCUGUACAUCCUCCCUGACCCUCACUCCUUCCCACCCCCCUCCUUUGUGGCUAGUGGUUUCUGAUCCUUUCACUAGUUCUCCCUGCCCCAGGACUAAACGCUGCCUCCAGAAAUGAUCCUCUUCUUACCUCACCAGGCAUCUUUCCCUUGAUUUCAGCCUCAUCGACCUGUAGCACAGAAGCUAAACCUGAGGUGAGGGUCCAGGAGUCAUCUACAUUCUGCAGUGCCACCAGCUCUCUGCACUCAGCUAUGGUUUCACUCAUCCAUGGCCCAAAAAUUGGAGAGCACAAAACAAAUGUUGUUGAAUCCACAUACUUGAGAGAGGAAGUCGAUGGUUGUGGCUGUUUAGGUGCUGUGAAACAAGACAUGAACAGGGAAUCACAGGAAGAUGACUCCUCUCUGUUCCCCUGUGCAGUGCCCCAGAACACUACUCUUCCUUGGGCAGUUACCUUCAGACUGAGACCCUACCCGCAUGUCCUCAACAUAGUCCUGUACCCAGCCCUUUUUGGACAUCCCUCACCCCUCUUCCCUUGACAUUUCUGCCCAGCCAGGUGCCCCAGUGGUCUCCUGACAUCCUCAACAUAUAUCAUCCAAAUGUGCUUUCAUGCACUGAAGCACUGGCCCUGACACCUCCACGGGCAUCUUUGACCUGGAUCUCACAAUUGCUGAAGGACUUUCAACUUUAGGAAUAAUUAAGGGAAAGAUCAAACUCACUAGUUUCAAGACCAAGAGCAGGACAUGUAAAAAAGCAACGGACUUUCAACUUUAGGAAUAAUUAAGGGAAAGAUCAAACUCACUAGUUUCAAGACCAAGAGCAGGACAUGUAAAAAAGCAACACAACACUCCUAUCAUACAUUAAUUAAUUCCUGUAUUUCCUAUCUGUGUCAAAGUCUCGUACCUUCCUUGUGGGCCCCAUGCUGGAGUAAGUUAGCAAUGUCAUUGGUGAGACGCUUGAUGGCACUCCUGCACUGCAGUGUACCAGCUAGGUGGGUUCCAUAUGGUCUUAGGAAAGCAGGAAGUGCUGGUCAAGGAGCCACGUAGCAUAAGGAUCUUGCAGGGAACAAAUGACUGGCGAGGUGGCAGCAGUGCUAGGGGCCCUUUGAGAGCAAAGAGGGAAAGGGGCUGAGUUAAGGCCAUGGAGAAAAGCACCUGUUGAUGAUGGGGCUUUUGCAUAUUGUGAUUGGAAUUUUGGCUCCUGUGGAAUGAGAACAACAGAAGGAAAUACCUCUCAAGUUCUUUUCCCCAAGUGCCUUUCCUUACCACAGUACCAGUGGGCCCUCCGUGAUGUACGAACGACCACAUAGCUGGUGAAGGGGCAGAUGAUCCCAGAUGUGAGACUGAUUUCAAUGGCACGCUGCAUUGGUUCAUCCCCUGACCCUCUUGCAACCUCUAGCAACAGCUUCUCCAGCAAGUUUCUUGCAGCCAGAUGAUGACCAGCCAUCCUGGGGAUAGAGUGGGGUGAGGCCUGUCAACCUGGGGAGAAAGGGUGUGGGUUCUCUCCUUUCAGGAGUGAGGAUGUGCAGAGGGAAGACCUGGAUGCAUGGACCUUUCUGUCUUGAAGGAAGUGAUGCCCAUGUUCCUGGAUCCUGUCCAUGUGGGUUCAGAACAGGGAAGGAGACCAUGCUUGGACACUUGGGAUCUCUCCCAAUUUGGUAUGGUGUGAGGAAGCUAGGAAUGUGUGAGCUAUCUGUGUCCUCCAUCAGCUGGAGUCCAUGUGUAGAAAACAAGGAGAUGCUCUUACCGGCCAUCUCCAUGUGAGCAUAGUGGGAACUGGAUCUUGUGAGUGACAUCCUGGCCAUCCAGGUUGAACUGCAAAGUCAUGACACCACUGGCCUCCUUCAUAUCCUGGAAACACAUGUAAAAUUACUGGAGACACAUGAUGGCUGCUGGGGGAUAUUUGGAAGUUACUGGAAGAUUACUGGUGGUUAUUUGGAGGUCAUUGGAAGUUUUCUCCUACAACCCACUGGUGGAGACUGAGUGAAGGACUGCAUGUUGCUUUGCUGCCUGCCAGGUUAACCACAGCAGAUGGCCUGCACAAGCCUCGUACAGCCGCUGGGUCUGGAUGGGAAGGAGAGGAACAGAAAGCAGAUCGCUAACCAGGCCACGGGCUGCUCAUCCCAUGCUGCUCUCAUGGUUCUCCCAUGCUUUCCCAAAUGCUGUUACCUCAUCCUGCAGCACAGCCUUGACCUUGGCAUCCUCACUGCAGGCCUGGAAAGAAUAGAUGGCCAUAUGGUGUUCCAGGGGGAAGACGAAGGUGACUUCUGAGGAUCUCAGACUCUCGUUACGGUAUAUCAGUUCAGAAACCGCGUCAGCUACAUAAUCCUGGAUAGCAACAUCCACCACAGCACUACAGAGGGGCAGUGACCACAGGGGAUACUACUGCUCCCAGCUGCUUCCAGAAGAGAGAAAAUGGACAGCCUUCCACUCUCCCCGUGUGUUCUCCAGAGCAAACUACCAUGCAAACUGUAGCACCAGUGGACUACUGGUGCAGUAUCAAUGCUGCUCUAGCUACAAG